rnacentral:rRNA from 1 species
AUGUAUGUCAAGGUCCUACAUCAUUUAACUAAGAAAAAAGUUACACAAAAGAACGGAAGGAACAAAGCAUCCUACGUGAACAACAUGCUCGCCGAGAUGACAAGAGAAGAGAUGUCUAUGCUAAUCGGGGUCUCUAGUGGGAUCCACGACCUAGGUGUCAAGCUUAGGGACCUCAAGAAUGUCCUUGCAGAUGCCGAUAGGAGGAACAUCACUGAAGAGUGUGCCGGGGUGGGUUGA